rnacentral:rRNA from 1 species
GACGAACCGUGCGAACGUUGUUCGGAAUCACUGGGCUUAAAGGGCGCGUAGGCGGGUCAUCAAGUCAGGGGUGAAAUACUCCGGCCUAACCGGAGAACGGCUUCUGAUACUGGUGACCUCGAGGGGUGUAGGGGCAUGCGGAACUUCCGGUGGAGCGGUGAAAUGCGUAGAUAUCGGAAGGAACGCCGGUGGCGAAAGCGGCGUGCUGGACACCUUCUGACGCUGAGGCGCGAAAGCCAGGGGAGCAAAGCGGGAUUAAGAAACCCU